rnacentral:rRNA from 1 species
ACUCCUACGGGAGGCAGCAGUGGGGAAUUUUGGACAAUGGGCGCAAGCCUGAUCCAGCCAUGCCGCGUGUGUGAAGAAGGCCUUCGGGUUGUAAAGCACUUUGUCCGGAAAGAAGAUGGCUGUGGUUAAUACCUG